rnacentral:lncRNA from 1 species
GGGGAAAGAGAAGCGCGGCGCGAAGGGCCGCGGGCGACCCGGGAAGGGAGGAGGGAGGCUUGGGAGGCUGGCGGGCGGUUUUAUUGUUUCCUUUCGCCCUCCUCCUCCCGCGCCUCGGCCCCGGCGUCACUGGAAAGCCGCCCGAGCCGCCCGGCGGCUGGUUAUUUAUAGCGCGGGCUGCGCGCGCGUCACGGAGCCCGGCCCGGCUGACGGGGCCGCUGACGCGCUUGGCCGCGGGGCCGAGUCCGCGGGGCUGCGCGCCGGGCGCCGGCGACAAUGGGCUUCUGUGUGUGCAGCUGCUGUCGCCGCCGGGGGCCGGGGGAGGGGGGCGGGCGACUCCCCGGCUCCCCUCUCUGUCGGCCGCGAGCCCCCGAAAGUAUGUCGAGAGAGGGGGAUCUAUCCAGCCGGGGGCGACCACUUUGUGAGCCCCGGGGAGCGGGACCCGUACCACGCGCGUCCAGCUGGGGAUGCGGUGACCGAGGGGCCGGGAGCGCCGGGCAGGUAACGUAUCCUGGACUUAAGAGUCGGGGGCUUUGUUUGGGUCGGGAGGAGGGGAGUAGGGGUGGGUGUGAACGCCGGGCUGCCCUUCCGGGACUCCGGUCCCCCCUCCUUCGCCCCCCUCGCCUGCGCGCUGGAAGCCAACCUGGGUGUGUAGCGCGAAGAGCGAAAGAGAAACUUCUUCUGCGUGACUGACUAGAUGAGGCUCCUCCCGAGAAGCCGAGAUAAUACAGGCCCCUCUCCCGCCGCCCGCCUGCCUGCCUCUCCUCCCCCGGCCGCUCCCUCCUGUCGCCCCACCCCUCGAAGGCUGCGGACCAGCCCCCCACACUUCCCCCUACAUCUCUGGCAGGUUCGCGCCGUGGACGCCCCCGCCCUGCGGGAGGAGGGGCUGGCGCGGAUUUUAGGGACUUCCUGGGAUGCGGAGACCGGCUCUGAACCAUCCCCUUUCUGCUGCGGGGAGCUGGGGAAGCUUGCUCUGGAGCGUCUCUCACGUGGCAGGCAGGCAGAGAACUUGCUGUACCUUCUAGGAAAUUACAAUCGAUUUGUAAUGCACUUUCGCUAAUUGAGAGUUCAAAAUUAAACUUUAAUAAAGCAUUUGUGUCGUCUCGUCUAAUUGUGAAA